rnacentral:rRNA from 1 species
UGGUGGAGUGAUUUGUCUGCUUAAUUGCGAUAACGAACGAGACCUUAACCUGCUAAAUAGCCAGGCUAGCUUUGGCUGGUCGCCGGCUUCUUAGAGGGACUAUCGGUGUGUAGCCGACGGAAGUUCGAGGCAAUAACA